rnacentral:tRNA from 1 species
GCGGAUGUAGCCAAGUGGAUCAAGGCAGUGGAUUGUGAAUCCACCGUGCGCGGGUUUUAUUCCCAUCGUUCACC